GAUGAAGAACGCAGCGAAAUGCGAUAAGUAAUGUGAAAUGCAGAAUUCAGUGAAUCAUCGAAUCUUUGAACGCACAUUGCGCCCGCCAGCAUUCUGGCGGGCAUGCCUGUUCGAGCGUCAUUUCAACCCUCGAGCCCGACUUCCUUGCGGAGGACGGCUCGGCGUUGGGGGACGGCACACUCCCCCCGGCUCGCCGGGGACGCCGCCCCCGAAAUUCAGUGGCGGCCCUCGGAGGCGACCUCUGCGUAGUAACUCAACCUCGCAAAGGGAAGCUCCGAGCGGCCACGCCGUGAAACCCCAACUAUAUCAAGGUUGACCUCGAAUCAGGUAGGACUACCCGCUGAACUUAAGCAUAUCAAUAAGCGGAGGA
rnacentral:misc_RNA from 1 species